UCCCUGAAUGUUUUGCUGUGCUGGGA
rnacentral:piRNA from 1 species